UGCUCGCCGCCUGGAACUUCGUCUCAACCUUAGAAUUGGCUAGGCGUAGGUGAGCAAAGUUUCAGGUGUGCGAGCAU
rnacentral:pre_miRNA from 1 species